rnacentral:rRNA from 1 species
GUUAUAUGGUCAAGUGAUUAAGCGCAUAUGGUGGAUGCCUAGGCGGUAGAAGGCGAUGAAGGACGUGGUAAUCUGCGAUAAGCCCCGGUAAGCCGAUAAACAGGCUCUGACCCGAGGAUUUCCGAAUGGGGUAACCCACCCGCAAGGGUAUCCGCAUCUGAAUACAUAGGGUGCGGAAGCUAACCCGGGGAACUGAAACAUCUAAGUACCCGGAGGAAAAGAAAUCAACCGAGAUUCCCUGAGUAGUGGCGAGCGAAAGGGGACCAGCCCUAAAGUGCUGGGGAUGCUAGUGGAACGGAUUGGAAAGUCCGGUCAUAGAGGGUGAUAACCCCGUACACGAAAGCUGAACCAGUAUUAUUCGAGUAGGUCGGGACACGUGAAAUCCUGACUGAAUAUGGGGGGACCAUCCUCCAAGGCUAAAUACUCUCUACCGACCGAUAGUGAACCAGUACCGUGAGGGAAAGGCGAAAAGAACCCCGGAGAGGGGAGUGAAAUAGAACCUGAAACCGUAUGCGUACAAGCAGUCGGAGCCCCGCAAGGGGUGACGGCGUACCUUUUGUAUAAUGGGUCAGCGACUUACUUUUAGUGGCAAGCUUAACCGUUUAGGGUAGGCGUAGGGAAACCGAGUCUUAAUUGGGCGUCCAGUCGCUAAGAGUAGACCCGAAACCGGGCGAUCUAGCCAUGGCCAGGAUGAAGGUGGGGUAACACCUACUGGAGGUCCGAACCGGGAUCUGUUGAAAAAGAUUCGGAUGAGCUGUGGCUAGGAGUGAAAGGCUAAUCAAGCUCGGAGAUAGCUGGUUCUCCUCGAAAGCUAUUUAGGUAGCGCCUCGUGUCUCACUCUCGGGGGUAGAGCACUGUUAUGGCUAGGGGGUCAUCCCGACUUACCAAACCAUUGCAAACUCCGAAUACCGAGAAGUGCAAUCACGGGAGACACACGGCGGGUGAUAAGGUCCGUCGUGGAAAGGGAAAGAGCCCAGACCGCCAGCUAAGGUCCCAAAAUCACAGCUCAGUGGUAAACGAUGUGGGAAGGCACAGACAGCCAGGAGGUUGGCUUAGAAGCAGCCAUCCUUUAAAGAAAGCGUAACAGCUCACUGGUCGAGUCGGCCUGCGCGGAAGAUGUAACGGGGCUUAAGCUGUGUACCGAAGCUGCGGAUGCCAGUUUACUGGCAUGGUAGAGGAGCGUUCUGUAAGCCUGUGAAGGUGUGCCGGGAGGCAUGCUGGAGGUAUCAGAAGUGCGAAUGCUGACAUGAGUAACGAUAAUGCGGGUGAAAAACCCGCACGCCGAAAACCCAAGGUUUCCUGCGCAACGCUAAUCGGCGCAGGGUGAGUCGGCUCCUAAGGCGAGGCCGAAAGGCGUAGUCGAUGGGCAACAGGUUAAUAUUCCUGUACUUCAAAUAACUGCGAUGGGGCGACGGAGAAGGCUAAAUCAGCCGGGUGUUGGAUGUCCCGGUUCAAGCGCGUAGGGAGUGUUCCCAGGUAAAUCCGGGAAUACAAUCCUGAGACGUGACGACGAGCGCCCUUUUAGGGAGCGAAGUGAUUGAUGCCAUGCUUCCAGGAAAAACCUCUAAGCUUCAGGUUAUUUGAAACCGUACCCCAAACCGACACAGGUGGGUGAGGAGAGAAUCCUAAGGCGUUUGAGAUAACUCUGGUGAAGGAACUCGGCAAAAUAACACCGUAACUUCGGGAGAAGGUGUGCCCUUGGUACGUGAAGGCCCUCGCGGCUGGAGCGGAAGAGGGUUGCAGUGAUCAGGUGGCUGCGACUGUUUACUAAAAACACAGCACUCUGCAAACUCGUAAGAGGACGUAUAGGGUGUGACGCCUGCCCGGUGCCGGAAGGUUAAUUGAUGGGGUCAGCCGCAAGGCGAAGCUCUUGAUCGAAGCCCCGGUAAACGGCGGCCGUAACUAUAACGGUCCUAAGG